UUAAUACUCCCUCCGUCCAGAAUUACUUGUCGCCAAAAUGGAUAUAAAUGGAUGUAUCUACAACUAAAAUACAUCUAGAUACGUCCAUUUCUUCGACAAGUAUUUCUAAACGAAGGGAGUAUUAC
rfam:Triticum aestivum genome assembly, contig: Triticum_aestivum_CS42_TGACv1_scaffold_129319_2BL